rnacentral:rRNA from 1 species
UACGUAGGUGGCAAGCGUCGUCCGGAUUUACUGGGUGUAAAGGGCGUGCAGCCGGGCUGACAAGUCAGAUGUGAAAUCCCGCGGCUCAACCGCGGAACUGCAUUUGAAACUGUCAGUCUUGAGUACCGGAGAGGUCAUCGGAAUUCCUUGUGUAGCGGUGAAAUGCGUAGAUAUAAGGAAGAACACCAGUGGCGAAGGCGGAUGACUGGACGGCAACUGACGGUGAGGCGCGAAAGCGUGGGGAGCAGACAGG